GAAAAAGCCUUGAUGGGGAGAAGUAAGGAAUCAUCUCUUACACAGAGAGAGCCGGGGCAGCUGAGACCGGUUUUAGGAGAUAUUUCUGAAUUGCACCCUUGAGCCUUCCGUCGAAAGCGAGUAGACGAAGCGGUUACUUCCCGUUAUCGAAGAGAGAGGGAAAGAAGUUCGUUUCUUUCAAACAGAGUGGAACCACGCGGAAAGCGUCUCUGUG
rnacentral:ncRNA from 1 species